rnacentral:lncRNA from 1 species
CUCAUUUUACAUUAACUCCGGAGUAUGCGCAUUUAUAUAAACCUUGAUUCCUUCCCUUCGUCAUUCACAAUCAAAGGAAAGUUCGCGUUUUUUUUCUCUGAAACUUAAUUUAAAAUGUCUGGACGUUCUGGUGGGAAAAAGAAGCCUUUAAAGGCCCCUAAAAAGGAUUCCAAAGAAUUAGAUAAUGAGGAUGUAGCAUUUAAGCAAAAGGAGAAAGAAAAAGAAAAAGCUUUAAAAGAUGCAAGGGCUAAAGCAACUCAGAAAGGCCCAAUGGGUGGAGGUGGCAUAAAGAAGUCUGGAAAACGGUAGUGCCAACCCAUUAGCAGUGAUUGGCUUCUACUGUUUUCAGCUGCAGAUUCAUGAUUUUCAUUUGGAUAUAAAUAUUUUUAUUUUAAAUAAGUCUUCUGUUUUCAUUUUGAAUUUAGAAGCAUUUCUGAUCAACUUUUCAACUUGAUGUCCUGAAUUAAACAUUAAAUUUUCGAACCAUA